rnacentral:lncRNA from 1 species
UAAACAGUGUCCAAGUAACAAAAUUAUGCCAAAUUACCACCUAAUCUAAAACAAGCUAACUAAACAAGAUUUUGCAUUUGCUGAGCAUAUAUAAAACCUCAAAUCUAAUUUUAUUUGCACAAUUUAAAUUAGGCACUCACAAAAAUUAUCAUCAUCAUUUAUUUAAUGAUGUUCUAAAAUCAUGCCUAAUAAAAUAAAAUAAAAUAAAAUAAAAAUGAAUGCCCUAAGAAUUUAGGGCUCUUUCAAAUCUAUAUUUUUCACAUAAUACGCGAUUUCCUCUUCGAUCGGGACCGCGAUCUCGUAGCCUGCAGGCAAAAAUUCCUUGAACCCUAAAAUUAGAUCCCAGCGGUCGUCGAAUAACUCCUGCACCUUCAUAACAACGUCGACCGUCUCCAUCCUGCAACCAAUUUCUCAACUAAUGAAUAUAUAUAAUAUAUAAUAUAUAUGUAAGUUAUAAGUUAUAAGAUCUUUUAUACAGGUUUCUUUAAAUAUAGUGAAUUGUAAAUUUAUUUUUUAAAAAAUUAACUUUCAUAUGUUAUCGCGGUAAAAAUUCUAGUAUUUUCAAAUAUGUUUCUGUCGUUAGAAUCUGUUAUUUUUGACAUUUUUAUCCUUCUUAUAUUAUACUGUUAUGAUUUUUAGAGGGACAUUUGUGAUGGCAAAAUUGAAAUUAUAAAUAUUUCUCUGACGAUUCUCUAACGGUAACAAACGAGAGGGACAUAUUUGAAAGCAUCAGGACUUUUGUAGAGACAACAUAUGAAAGUUGAACUUUGUAGGGAUAUAUUUGUCAUUCACUAUGUUUGCAGGGAUAUGUACGAAUUAACCCAAAAAACUAAUAGUGUUAAUUCCAUACAGGUCUAUGCAAAUAUAGUGGAUUGCAAAUAUAUUCCUACAAAAUUCAACUUUCAUAUGUUGUUUCCGUAAAAGUCCUAAUAUUUUUCAAAUAUGUUUCUGUUGUUAGAAUCAAUUAGGAAACUUAACACUGGUUAGUUUAUGAGACAACUUGUCUCUCUUAUAUUGUACUGUUGUGGCUUUUAGAGGGACAUAUUUAUAAUGGCAAAAAUGACAUUUCGCUUAAUGUAUAAACAGUUUUAUAACGGUAACAAACCAAAGGAACAUAUUUGAAAACAUUAGAACUUUUGUAAUUUACUAUGUUUGCAGAGAUCUGUAUGCAUUUAACCAAAACUAAUAAUAACAAUAUCCACUCUUUACAAAUAAUAUAUAUAACAUAUAUAGAGAGAGACUAUAGAGAGAGACAGAGAAUCCGGCUAUUGUAAUAUAGAUAGUACCAAAUGGUUGGUGUUAUCGAGUUUUCCGUCGUUAGAUCUACCGCUUUGAUCGUUUCCGCCCACUAGAUUAUAUUAUUUAACCAACCACUCACUCAACCCUUGGAGAUCACUAUCAUCCUAACCACACAUCCCUUCAUCCAAGGGCCGAAAAUCUAAUAGCACAAAGAGUUUGAUAUUAUAUAUAUAUAGAGAGGCUACUAUACUAUCUAUGGUACCGGAGCUCAGGUACUAUAAUCGCGCUUUCGAUUUUAGGGUGUUCAAAUUAAUGAUCCAUACUAUUAAAUAUAAUAUAUAGUAUAUGAAGUUUUUAGGAAUAAAAUUUUAAUUUUUUUCAACAUUGUUUACUUAGUAAGUUUACCAUGCCAAAAUGAGCGGUGGAAAUUGAACAAUAUUUAAAACUUGAGGAUAAAACUUUUGAGUUCAAGAUCGAAGAUGUUGCCCUUAGUUUAGAUAGUUUAAAGUAUUUUCUAUCAAAAUUUGAAUAAAUUUAUAUUCUUCUAUACGUUAAACUACAAACUCGGCAUAGUGACCAUUGAAUAUUAACAAUUUUAAAAUAGUUUGAUCAUAAAGUAAAUUAUAUCGAAAAAAUAUAAAAUUUUAUUCCUAAAAACUUUAAAUACUCUAAAUCAAUUUUAACAGUGUGGAUCGAUGAUUUAAACAUCUUAAGAUCGAAAAUGAGACUAUAAUAUGGAAUAUGAACCCUUUUACUACUAAAUUUAUCACCCUUGUACGAAAAAUUAUAGGAAUUUGGAUGAUAGUGGUCACAUGGUUGAUAGAGUAAUAUAAUUUAAGGGUUGGAAUUGAUCAAAUGGUAGAUCUAAUAGUGGAAAACUUAAUAGCACCAAGUGCUUGGUGUUAUUAAAAGUAUCCCAGCCAGAUUCAAUAUUAGUUUGGCUAGAAUACUAUUAGUAGUAAAUCUAUUCAGUACUAUUGAUGUGUCUUCGAUGAAAAGACGUCCAAAUCGACAAUCUGUAUUGUUAAAUAUCAUCUGCACCAUUUGAUGUAUUUAAGAAAUCAAAUUUCGUGUUCUUUUUAUAUUAUUUUAAUAUGUAUCAAAUAAACACAAAAAUAAACAACUAAAAAUGGAUAUCCUCAUAAAAUAAUAAAUAAAUAGCUCUUGUAUUCAAGAUCAAAGGUACCAAUAUUGAUUCAAAUUGUUCAAACAAUUUUCUAACAAAAAUUCAAUAAAUUUGGAUUAAUUCUUUUAUACUGUUAAACAAACAAACGCUCCAUAUCGGAAAGUUAGAAAUUUAGUUAUAUUUUAGUUUAGAUAAUGUACACCUGACUUGAAUAGCCCAUGAUAAAUACAAACUCAGUAAUAGAGUCUGACUACAAUACUAUCGAUAGCACCAAGCACUUGGUGCCACUAAAUAAUUUUUUACCGUUAGAUCUACCCUUUUGAUCAUUUUCAUUCGCUAGAUCAAACUAUUCAAUCAACCGGUCAUUCAAUUCUACGGGACCACAAUCAUCCUGACCAUACAUCGUUUCAUCUAAGGGCCAGAAACUUAAUAGCAUCAAUAACUUGAUGCUAUUAAUAGCAUUCUAGUCUAGUUCCUCAGUAGUAGCAAAAUCUAUUUAGAACUGAUAAUAUUCUAACCUAAACCAGCAAUAGAUGAUUUUGCAACAAUAAUAUUAUUAUGCACAUAAAAGGUCGAGUUCAUCUACAGUGCAUGUUUCUAACAGUACAUGCAUAGCACAUGUUAUCGACUUUUGGACUUUUAUGCUUGGUAAUGGAAUUGUGUGAAAGAGUAUUAAAAAAUUUAUUCUCCAAAUUAUGAUGUAUUCUAGAAUAGUGAGAAACUAGUAUAGGAACAUACAUGAUAUGGUGGAUAGAAAUUUUUUUUUAAAAAAAAUAGAAUAUAAAGUGCACGUAAAAAGAUUUACCAUUUACCCCGAAGAGAAGAGAGAAGAGAAAAUGAAGAGAAAUCACAAUACCUAGUGAAAGUUGGAUGAAUCUGGAGUACCUAAUCUCGUCGCUGUGUCUAUUGAAGUCUCAAAAUGGGGGCGAGGGAGGAGGGGAGCGAGAACAAUAGAAUGGAGAAGAAAGUCCG